CUUACAUAGAAAUACAGAUAUCGCACGAUGAGAGGAUACAUACAAUAUGAGAGCGGCCGUGUGUCACAAUGGAACAUCGAUCCACCAGAAACCCAGACAUGAGAUAUUCGAUUCUUCUCUGAUGUAUUUCGUCUCUGCCGCUUAUUCCCAGGCGUCCCUCGUUCUCGCAUCGAUCGAAUCGGAUAAUUAUAACACUGCGGCCGGUGCUGCGGUCGAAGGACGACGACUACUAGGAGCGGCGGCCGGAGUGAGAAUUUCAAUCUCGUGCUCGCCGACGAAUUUCGGAUGCUCGAGGUGCCAGCAAUUUCCCCUGACGACGAAUACAAUUUCCAGAGGAAAAAACUGCGGAGUUGCGAUAGAACUGGUCGGGAAAUGCAGAGGAGGUUAUGGCCUCUGAUAGAGGUGCGCGAUCGAUGUUGCGUCAGCGAAACCGACGCUCUCAGCAGCUGCGCCGAGUCGCCGUCACCGUCGUCGUCGUUGCCGUCAGCAACGUUACUGUCUAGCUAGUACGUUCGCCAAACACUAUUUAUCCUAUUGCACAAUGAGAGAGUGGUCUCUCUCAACUGCUAUAAUUGUCAUCUGCUAUUGUGAUUAUAAUACGCGGAAAAACCUCAAAGAGAGGAUAAUAAUGAUAUAUGACGUGGACAGAACUGAUUAUUAUAACAAGAAACGUCGAGUCUUCUAACUUUGUCAA